GGGGCUUCGGUGGCGGGGCCGGUGUCCCGCGGGGUCCCCGUAGCGGUUCCGGGUCGCGGAGGCGGAACCUGCGGGAGUGGAGCGGUAGCGCCAUGGUGGGAGCGGGGCCGGCGGCGGAGAGGGGGAGCCCGGGGGGCUGCGCGGGGCUUCGCCGGGCUCUGAGCGCUCCUUUCCUCCUCAGCGGUUCCGGUUCUGCGGGGACCUGGACUGCCCAGACUGGGUGCUGGCCGAGAUCAGCGUGCUGGCCCGAAUCUCCUCGGUGAAGCUGAAGCUAAUCUGCGCUCAGGUGCUGCGGGAGCUGCUGGGAGAGACCAUCGACUAUGAGAAGAUCCUGAAGCUGACGUCGGAUGCCAAGCUCGAGUCGGGUGAUGUGAAGGCUGCAAUCGCUGUGCUCGACUUCAUCCUCUCCAACGCAGCCAAGCACAAUGUGGAUGGCGAAUCCUUGUCCAGCGAGCUGCAGCAGCUGGGACUGCCCAAAGAACACGCCACGGGGUUGUGCCGCUCCUACGAGGAGAAGCAGAGCUCCCUGCAGGACAGCCUCAGGGCUGGCAGCCUCCGAUUGAGCCGCCUGGAUGGCGUGUCGUGGCGGGUGGAUUACGCACUGAGCUCCAGCGAGCUGCAGGAGGUGGGCGAACCUCUGGUGCACCUGCUGCUGCGUGUGCGGCACCGGGAGCACGGGGAGCCCGAGGCCGUGCCCAUGGCCGUGUCGGCGGAGAAGUUCCGGGUGCUGCUGGCAGAGCUGAAGCAGGCCCAGGCGCUGAUGAAGACCCUCCUCUGAGGACGCGACCCCCGGCGGUGGUGUCACAGCGUGCGGGGCCCGAUAAUAAAGUGCGGGAGCGAAGCCCGAGCU